rnacentral:rRNA from 1 species
UACGAAGGGGGCUAGCGUUGCUCGGAAUCACUGGGCGUAAAGCGCACGUAGGCGGACUCUUAAGUCGGUGGUGAAAUCCUGGAGCUCAACUCCAGAACUGCCUCCGAUACUGGGAGCCUUCGAGUCCGGGAGAGGUGAGUGGAACUGCGAGUGUAGAGGUGAAAUUCGUAGAUAUUCGCAAGAACACCAGUGGCGAAGGCGGCUCACUGGCCCGGUACUGACGCUGAGGUGCGAAAGCUAGGGGAGCAAACAGG